rnacentral:rRNA from 1 species
UACGUAGGGAGCGAGCGUUGUCCGGAUUUAUUGGGCGUAAAGAGCUCGUAGGCGGUUUGGCAAGUCGGAUGUGAAAGCUCCGGCUCAACCCGGAGACGCCAUUCGAUACUGCCAUGACUAGAGUCCGGUAGGGGGUGUGGAAUUCCCAGUGUAGCGGUGAAAUGCGCAGAUAUCGGGAAGAACACCUAUGGCGAAGGCAGCUCUCUGGGACGGUACUGACGCUGAGACGCGAAAGCGUGGGGAGCGAACAGG